rnacentral:lncRNA from 1 species
UUGUUGAAGGAAAGGAGAAAUAUGGAAGAAGAGCGGUCUGAGAUGGAAAUGAGAGGAGACCAAGUCAUGGAUGAAAUGAAAUCACUAGAGAUUCUGAAAGUGAAACUUCAACAACUGAAGCAGCAUAUAAAAGCUAAAACGGACAGAUUACUACAAAAUGUUGACAACAGGUCCAUGCUGCAAACAGUGUUGGAAGAAAAACUUACAACUCAAGACAAACAGAAAGAAAACAUUUGCUAUUUCACUGAAAUGUUAGAGAGGAAAGGAAGGUGUGAGAAUAUCCUUUCAGACAUGAUCACCAAGAGAGAAUGCACAGAAAAAGAAUGGAAGCAGCAGUUUGAACUGGACAAACGAGAUCUUGAUAAACGGAAAGAAGAUCUGAGACAAGACAGAGAAGAUCUGGAGAGAGAAAGUGAGGUGCUGAAUAAAGAGAAAAUGGAUUUGAAGCUGUUGAUGUCUGACAUGAAGAAACAAUUUGAAAUAUUGGAAGAAAAGAGACAAAAUGUAAAAGAAGAGAGAGACUCAAUGGAAAUCAUAAAGCUUGAACUGCUCAAUAAGAUGGAACAUGUAAAAAGGCUGUUAAAUGAGGCAAAUGAAGAAAAAGCCAAUAUUAAAGUUUGUAUCCUUCAGGUUCAAACGGAAAAAGAAAGACUUGAAGACAUUUUAAGCAAGAUUUUCUUAAACAUAGUGAACAAAAAGUCAAGGAAGAUGACCUCAGAAGACAAACAAAAGAACUGGAAAUGAAGAUGACCUCAGAAGACAAACAAAAGAACUGGAAAUGAUGAAGAAGCAAUCACAGAGUGAAAGAGAAAAGUGGAGAGUCUGAUGAGGAAUCUCAAAAGAAGCAAGAAGAGCUUGAACGUGCAAAGGAAAUCAUGAGUGAAGAAAAAGAAGAGGUGAAACAGAUGAAGACUGACAUUGCCAAAGAACGAGAACUGUUGUUGAAGGAAAGGAGAAAUAUGGAAGAAGAGCGGUCUGAGAUGGAAAUGAGAGGAGACCAAGUCAUGGAUGAAAUGAAAUCACUAGAGAUUCUGAAAGUGAAAUUUCAACAACUGAAGCAGCAUAUAAAAGUUAAAACGGACAGAUUACUACAAAAUGUGACAACAUGUCAGGCUGCAAACAGUGUUGGAAGAAAAACUUACAACUCAAGACAAACAGAAAGAAAACAUUUGCUGUUUCACUGAAAUGUUAGAUAGAGAAAAGGAAGGUGUGAGAAGUAUCCUUUCAGACAUGGUCACCAAGAGAGAAUGCACAGAAAAAGAAUGGAAGCAGCAGUUUGAACUGGACAAACGAGAUCUUGAUAAACGGAAAGAAGAUCUGAGACAAGACAGAGAAGAUCUGGAGAGAGAAAGUGAGG